GCUCCAGUCAUGACGACAGAAGGCCGUCAGUUAAGAAAAGAAGCCUUGUUAAGUGUCGCGUGCCUACCCUUGCCCACACUAGGCGAUGAUCACUUAGAGGGUUCCGUGCAUUAUUUGCUAAUUCACGAUAAGUGACUGCUUUUUGCGGUUUCAAAAAUUACCAUACCGCAAAUAGUCGGUCAGUUUGCGGUUUGAGCAAAAAUUCGCAGUUACCAAAUCGCAACCACCCCUAGUGUUGUGUGUGUGAGUUAAAGGUACUUUAAAAAAAAAUUAUUAUUUUGUUGUCCACAUGGAAUCCAAGCCCAUGUUUGCC
rnacentral:lncRNA from 1 species